rnacentral:tRNA from 2 species
GGGCCGCUAGCUCAGCUGGCAGAGCAGCAGACUCUUAAUCUGCGGGUCGCAGGUUCGAUGCCUGCGCGGCUCA